GGUGGCUCAGUGGUAGAGCGCUUGCCUUGUAUGCCUGAGGCUCUGGGUUCAAUUCCUCAGCACCA
rnacentral:tRNA from 1 species